GGAUAAAAGGUACUCCGGGGAUAACAGGCUGAUACCGCCCAAGAGUUCAUAUCGACGGCGGUGUUUGGCACCUCGAUGUCGGCUCAUCACAUCCUGGGGCUGAAGUAGGUCCCAAGGGUAUGGCUGUUCGCCAUUUAAAGUGGUACGCGAGCUGGGUUUAGAACGUCGUGAGACAGUUCGGUCCCUAUCUGCCGUGGGCGCUGGAGAACUGAGGGGGGCUGCUCCUAGUACGAGAGGACCGGAGUGGACGCAUCACUGGUGUUCGGGUUGUCAUGCCAAUGGCACUGCCCGGUAGCUAAAUGCGGAAGAGAUAAGUGCUGAAAGCAUCUAAGCACGAAACUUGCCCCGAGAUGAGUUCUCCCUGAC
rnacentral:rRNA from 1 species